CUCCGCUUGGUGUAGUUGGUUGUCAGUACUACCUAUGAGACCUUUAUCAAACAGCCUACUAAUUCUGUUUAGUAUCACGUUCGACUGUAAUAUUACUUUGUAAUCGAAAGGUCCCUAGUUCGAUUCUGGGAGCGGAGA